UUAAGCGACUAAGCGUACACGGUGGAUGCCCUGGCAGUCAGAGGCGAUGAAGGACGUGCUAAUCUGCGAAAAGCGUCGGUAAGGUGAUAUGAACCGUUAUAACCGGCGAUGUCCGAAUGGGGAAACCCAGUGCAAUUCGUUGCACUAUCGUUAACUGAAUACAUAGGUUAACGAGGCGAACCGGGGGAACUGAAACAUCUAAGUACCCCGAGGAAAAGAAAUCAACCGAGAUUCCCCCAGUAGCGGCGAGCGAACGGGGAGCAGCCCAGAGUCUGAAUCAGCUUGUGUGUUAGUGGAACGGUCUGGAAAGUCCGACGGUACAGGGUGAUAGUCCCGUACACCAAAAUGCACAGGCUGUGAACUCGAAGAGUAGGGCGGGACACGUGGUAUCCUGUCUGAAUAUGGGGGGACCAUCCUCCAAGGCUAAAUACUCCUGACUGACCGAUAGUGAACCAGUACCGUGAGGGAAAGGCGAAAAGAACCCCGGCGAGGGGAGUGAAAAAGAACCUGAAACCGUGUACGUACAAGCAGUGGGAGCACCUUCGGGUGUGACUGCGUACCUUUUGUAUAAUGGGUCAGCGACUUAUAUUCUGUAGCAAGGUUAACCGUAUAGGGGAGCCGCAGGGAAACCGAGUCUUAACUGGGCGUUAAGUUGCAGGGUAUAGACCCGAAACCCGGUGAUUCAGCCAUGGGCAGGUUGAAGGUUGGGUAACACUAACUGGAGGACCGAACCGACUAAUGUUGAAAAAUUAGCGGAUGACUUGUGGCUGGGGGUGAAAGGCCAAUCAAACCGGGAGAUAGCUGGUUCUCCCGAAAGCUAUUUAGGUAGCGCCUCGUGAACUCAUCUUCGGGGGUAGAGCACUGUUUCGGCUAGGGGGUCAUCCCGACUUACCAACCCGAUGCAAACUACGAAUACCGAAGAAUGUUAUCACGGGAGACACACGGCGGGUGCUAACGUCCGUCGUGAAGAGGGAAACAACCCAGACCGCCAGCUAAGGUCCCAAAGUCAUGGUUAAGUGGGAAACGAUGUGGGAAGGCACAGACAGCCAGGAUGUUGGCUUAGAAGCAGCCAUCAUUUAAAGAAAGCGUAAUAGCUCACUGGUCGAGUCGGCCUGCGCGGAAGAUGUAACGGGCUAAACCAUGCACCGAAGCUGCGGCAGCGACACUAUGUGUUGUUGGGUAGGGAGCGUUCUGUAAGCCUGCGAAGGUGUGCUGUGAGGCAUGCUGGAGGUAUCAGAAGUGCGAAUGCUGACAUAAGUAACGAUAAAGCGGGUGAAAAGCCCGCUCGCCGGAAGACCAAGGGUUCCUGUCCAACGUUAAUCGGGGCAGGGUGAGUCGACCCCUAAGGCGAGGCCGAAAGGCGUAGUCGAUGGGAAACAGGUUAAUAUUCCUGUACUUGGUGUUACUGCGAAGGGGGGACGGAGAAGGCUAUGUUAGCCGGGCGACGGUUGUCCCGGUUUAAGCAUGUAGGCUGGUUGUCCAGGCAAAUCCGGAUAAUCAAGGCUGAGGUGUGAUGACGAGGCACUACGGUGCUGAAGUAACAAAUGCCCUGCUUCCAGGAAAAGCCUCUAAGCAUCAGGUAACAUCAAAUCGUACCCCAAACCGACACAGGUGGUCAGGUAGAGAAUACCAAGGCGCUUGAGAGAACUCGGGUGAAGGAACUAGGCAAAAUGGUGCCGUAACUUCGGGAGAAGGCACGCUGGUGUGUAGGUGAAGCCCCUGCGGGUGGAGCUGAGACCAGUCGAAGAUACCAGCUGGCUGCAACUGUUUAUUAAAAACACAGCACUGUGCAAACACGAAAGUGGACGUAUACGGUGUGACGCCUGCCCGGUGCCGGAAGGUUAAUUGAUGGGGUUAUCCGUAAGGAGAAGCUCUUGAUCGAAGCCCGGUAAACGGCGGCCGUAACUAUAACGGUCCUAAGGUAGCGAAAUUCCUUGUCGGGUAAGUUCCGACCUGCACGAAUGGCGUAAUGAUGGCUGCUGUCUCCACCCGAGACUCAGUGAAAUUGAACUCGCUGUGAAGAUGCAGUGUACCCGCGGCAAGACGGAAAGACCCCGUGAACCUUUACUAUAGCUUGACACUGAACAUUGAGCCUUGAUGUGUAGGAUAGGUGGGAGGCUUUGAAGCGUGGACGCCAGUCUGCGUGGAGCCAACCUUGAAAUACCACCCUUUAAUGUUUGAUGUUCUAACGUUGGCCCCUUACCGGGGUUGCGGACAGUGUCUGGUGGGUAGUUUGACUGGGGCGGUCUCCUCCCAAAGCGUAACGGAGGAGCACGAAGGUUAGCUAAUCCUGGUCGGACAUCAGGAGGUUAGUGCAAUGGCAUAAGCUAGCUUGACUGCGAGCGUGACGGCGCGAGCAGGUGCGAAAGCAGGUCAUAGUGAUCCGGUGGUUCUGAAUGGAAGGGCCAUCGCUCAACGGAUAAAAGGUACUCCGGGGAUAACAGGCUGAUACCGCCCAAGAGUUCAUAUCGACGGCGGUGUUUGGCACCUCGAUGUCGGCUCAUCACAUCCUGGGGCUGAAGUAGGUCCCAAGGGUAUGGCUGUUCGCCAUUUAAAGUGGUACGCGAGCUGGGUUUAGAACGUCGUGAGACAGUUCGGUCCCUAUCUGCCGUGGGCGCUGGAGAAUUGAGGGGGGCUGCUCCUAGUACGAGAGGACCGGAGUGGACGCAUCACUGGUGUUCGGGUUGUCAUGCCAAUGGCACUGCCCGGUAGCUAAAUGCGGAAGAGAUAAGUGCUGAAAGCAUCUAAGCACGAAACUUGCCCCGAGAUGAGUUCUCCCUGAGACUUUAAGUCUCCUGAAGGAACGUUGAAGACGACGACGUUGAUAGGCCGGGUGUGUAAGCGCAGCGAUGCGUUGAGCUAACCGGUACUAAUGAACCGUGAGGCUUAACCU
rnacentral:rRNA from 1 species